rnacentral:rRNA from 1 species
UACGGGGGGGGCAAGCGUUGUUCGGAAUUACUGGGCGUAAAGGGCUCGUAGGCGGCCAACUAAGUCAGACGUGAAAUCCCUCGGCUUAACCGGGGAACUGCGUCUGAUACUGGAUGGCUUGAGUUCGGGAGAGGGAUGCGGAAUUCCAGGUGUAGCGGUGAAAUGCGUAGAUAUCGAGAGGAACACCUGCGGCGAAGGCGGGUUGCUGGGCCGACACGUGACGCUGAUGCGCGAAAGCCAGGGGAGCGAAACGGG